rnacentral:rRNA from 1 species
GACGAACGCUGGCGGCGUGCUUAACACAUGCAAGUCGAACGGAAAGGCCCUGCUUUUGUGGGGUGCUCGAGUGGCGAACGGGUGAGUAACACGUGAGUAACCUGCCCUUGACUUUGGGAUAACUUCAGGAAACUGGGGCUAAUACCGGAUAGGAGCUCCUGCUGCAUGGUGGGGGUUGGAAAGUUUCGGCGGUUGGGGAUGGACUCGCGGCUUAUCAGCUUGUUGGUGGGGUAGUGGCUUACCAAGGCUUUGACGGGUAGCCGGCCUGAGAGGGUGACCGGCCACAUUGGGACUGAGAUACGGCCCAGACUCCUACGGGAGGCAGAAGUGGGGAAUAUUGAACAAUGGGCGGAAGACUGAUGCAGCAACGCCGCGUGCGGGAUGACGGCCUUCGGGUUGUAAACCGCUUUCGCCUGUGACGAAGCGUGAGUGACGGUAAUGGGUAAAGAAGCACCGGCUAACUACGUG